CCCUGUCUGGCAGCAUAUGCAUAACCCUGCAUCUACUGCUAAUUUAUGUUGAGCUACAAAAUACCAAGAUGACCCUCUGCUGCCGAACUGCCUGGGAAAGGGCAAUGGAAGUGAAGGGAUUAAAAGAAAAGAAAAGAAAAGAAAAGAAAAGAAAAAGGUUGGUUGUCGUCGAUGAUGUUGGUGGGAGUUGAAAAGAAGAAGGAUUCGAUUAGUAAAAACCGUUUCCUAUUAUACCAAAAAAAGGGAUGAAGAAAGUAUAUUUAUGGCGUCGGUUAAAAAAUGAGAGAGGAGAGAGGUUCAGAGGGAUCCAAGAGCAGCAGACAGUGGAGAGGUUUAAUGGCCGAGUCACGACGCGUAU
rnacentral:misc_RNA from 1 species